rnacentral:lncRNA from 1 species
GGAGACUUAGGGUUAUUCCGCGACAUAUCAGUAGGAUUUUGAUAAACUGAAAGGGAUGAAGGUGCUACAGAGAGGCUAGAGGAGGAAGAUGAUGCAACUGUGUCCGUUGAAGCUGAACUGGAAACAGAGAAAUCAGUUCCAUUUCCCAUGGAUUCCAAUAACUGCUGUUCUCUCUGCUGUAGAGCAUCUAGUUUGCUGGUGUACUCCUCAUAGGCCUCUAAAUAUAUUGAUGGUGGGUUAUGCUCUCCUCCAAACUUGUCUAACAGCGCUUCUAUAUGUUCUUGUGUUAAUUUAAUCAUCUGUUUGAUAUUCCACACCUCCUCCGGGAUGGCCGGGUCGCCGCCGCCGCUCCCGGCGUAGCAGGCGCCCAGCACGGGCGGCGGCGGCUCGGGCUCCAUGUCCCCGUUGAAGAGCGAGGCCCCCUCGGCGCUGCUGCCGCUGCUCAGCGCCGCCAUCUUGGAUCGAAGCGCUGGGGCGAGG